rnacentral:sRNA from 12 species
GAUCAUUGACAUACUGACAAGGCUAAAACAAAGAGAUAACUAACGUAGAGAGGCUCUAAGCCCUCUACAAGUGACUAACAAUACAGCUUGCAAUCUUAGACUUAUCGUGCUAAGAGCUGAACGGCUAACGACCGCCCCCUCGCCCCUCGUAAAGGGCUUGCAAGCAC